GGUACCUCACUGCACAGCUUCCAGGCUGGUCUGUGUCCCUGCCACUCUGAAUUAUCCAGAAACCAGCACCUACAAGUGAGAGGACUCAUCUAGAAGACCUCUAAGGUCCCUUUUGGCCCUGAGGGGUCUCUAAUAAUCCCCACUUGGAAUUCAGCACCGCAAGGAAAUUAUGGAACUGUUAUCAGGAAUCACUGAAGGGCUAACCGUGAUGGUCCUUGCAAGUCAAGGUGUUAUCCUGAUUGGAAAUAGAAGACAUUUCAGGUUGAGAGAACAGAUUCGUUGGAAGCUUAACUUUUGUUGCCUCUUAACUCUGCCAAAUUUUAGGGUAAUUUGAUUGUGAAAGAGUGAAUUUUUCUGGACAGAAAAGAGAGAGCUACCAAAUUGUUUUUUUCUUUUUUAAAGGAAGUUUAAUGUCCAUUGUAUCACAAAUCAGUGUUAAAACACCAAAACUUUAGCCAAAAUAAAUGUCUUACAUUACAAAGGUAUUGUUUUUUUGUCCUUCUUAUCAUAGUUGAUUUUCUUUUACGUUUUUAUGCUUAGCUUUUUUUGUUUGGGCUUAGCUUUUAUAUUUGCUAUUUCUAACUUUUUAAAAAUAAUCUAAAACGUAGCUGUUCUGAGCUAGUUAUAGGUUCCAUAAUGGCACUGUUUAUGCAGUAGAUAUUGAUGAACACCUCUCCAGUAUCAGAAAUGUUCUGGUAGGAAUAUUCUUAGGUAAAAUGGC
rnacentral:lncRNA from 1 species